GUACACGCUGUGACUAGCAUAUCAAUAAGCGGAGGAAAAGAAACUAACAAGGAUUCCCCUAGUAACGGCGAGUGAAGCGGGAAGAGCUCAAAUUUGAAAUCUUAAAGGGUUUCCCUUUACGAAUUGUAGUUUAAAGAAGUGUUUUCUGUUGAGGUUUUGGUAAAAGUUCUUUGGAAUAGGACAUCAUAGAGGGUGAGAAUCCCGUAUUUGACCUUUACUUUCAACUUUGUGAUACACUUUCAAAGAGUCGGAUUGUUUGGGAAUGCAGUCCAAAAUGGGUGGUAAAUUUCAUCUAAAGCUAAAUAUUGGCGAGAGACCGAUAGCGAACAAGUACCGUGAGGGAAAGAUGAAAAGAACUUUGAAAAGAGAGUUAAACAGUACGUGAAAUUGUCAAAAGGGAAGCGUUUGACACCAGUGUUGUUUUUCUGAAAAUCAAUUAAAGAACUGUUUAUGCUAAGUUGUUUAGACUUUAUCAGCUAACUGUUUAGUUUUGAGCUUUUCUUUAAUGCACUUUUCAGUUAACAAGUCAACAUCAAUUUCUUUUGCUGUAAGAAAGCUUGAGGAAGGUGGCUUGAGAUUCGUCUUAAGUGUUUAUAGCCUCUUGCCUAUGCAGUCGGAGAGAUUGAGGUCUGCAGCGUAGAUCCUUCGGGGCUAAAUGCAUUUGUGCUAAGUUAUAGCAUUUUAUAGACAACUUGUUGACUAUGAUUUGUCUUGUAGCUUACUCGCUUAUGUUAUUUUACCUACGCUUAGGAUGUUGAAGUCAUCGUAUCGCGCA
rnacentral:rRNA from 1 species